GAGACCUAGUGGUUAGAGUGUCCGCCUUGGAUGCGGGAGGUCUCAGUUUCGAGCCCCCGGCUGAGUCA